rnacentral:lncRNA from 1 species
AGGGUCAGCUUCUUUCCCUCUCAUUCUCAUCUCACAUUCUUUACUUUUGUAGUCUCAGAUGAUUCAGUCGCUUCCACGGUGCCCUCUGUCUGUGUCUUCAGCCUUCAUCUCCACCCGAAACAUGGGACCAACCCUAUAACAACUUCUGGGGACAUCUCUACUUGGAUGUUCUAAUGCACUUUUCAGAGUCACUAAAUCAUAAAUGGUUUCCUUUUAAGGUCCUGUGACUGAGACUUCCAGGGUAUAAAAGCAAGAGGCACAGGCGUGCCACAGAGUUAAUGUGGAGCAGUGAAGUUUGUGAAAAGGGUCAGAGGAGAGAAAGAGAGAAACGGCACAAGGUGGAUGUCAGAUGCUACUGGGAGAUGACCCAUCACUCAGAAUUGAAGGUCUGGGACCAUGUGACUUCUGUCUUCUUCAGAAUCAAAAAGCUCCUGAAAGGUAAAAAUUUUGAAUGGAUUCAAGACAUCAAGGCAGCUGCAACAGCACAGCUAAAAAACUCAUGAAUGAAGACGUCCAGAAGUGCUUUAGAGAGUGACAAGAGUGAUGGAUACAUGUGCUCUAAGUGAGGGGAGCGUUUUGAAGGGAAUUCACUGACCACAGUGAAUUUAGAUUAUACUUCAUAUAGGAGGAGAAAGAUACACCCAAAGCCAUCCUAAGCAGUUUACCAGAUAAUUGCAGAAUAGUAAAUAAUAUAGUCAUUAAUAUUGCAAGAUUAAGCUUCUGUCUUAUUUUGGGGGGAAUUAGAACAAGUUCAUGCAGAAUAAAGCAAUU